GUGCACACUUGUCAUCUUUAUAUCUCCACCUGUGCACCUUUUGUAGAUCUGGAUAUCUUUCUGAAUGCCUGGCAUUCAGGUUUGAGGAUUGACUUUUGUCUUUCCUUACAUUUCCAGGCCUAUGUUUUCUUCAUAUACACCAUUUAUGUUAUAGAAUGUAAUGAAAAGGGCCUUUGUGCCUACAAACCUUAUACAACUUUCAGCAACGGAUCUCUUGGCUCUCGCAUCGAUGAAGAACGCAGCGAAAUGCGAUAAGUAAUGUGAAUUGCAGAAUUCAGUGAAUCAUCGAAUCUUUGAACGCACCUUGCGCUCCUUGGUAUUCCGAGGAGCAUGCCUGUUUGAGUGUCAUUAAUAUAUCAACCUCCUCAGGUUUUUACUUGUCGAGUGUUUGGAUGUGGGGGUCUUUUGCUGGUCUCUUUUGAGGUCGGCUCCCCUAAAAUGCAUUAGCGGAACAAUUUGUUGACCCGUUCAUUGGUGUGAUAACUAUCUACGCUUUUGACGUGAAACAGGUUCAGCUUCUAACAGUCCAUUGACUUGGACAAAUUUUCAUUAAUGUGACCUCAAAUCAGGUAGGACUACCCGCUGAACUUAAGCAUAUCAAUAAGCGGAGGAAAAGAAACUAACAAGGAUUCCCCUAGUAACUGCGAGUGAAGCGGGAAAAGCUCAAAUUUAAAAUCUGGCAGUCUUUGGCUGUCCGAGUUGUAAUCUAGAGAAGUGUUAUCCGCGCUGGACCGUGUACAAGUCUCCUGGAAUGGAGCGUCAUAGAGGGUGAGAAUCCCGUCUUUGACACGGACUACCAGGGCUUUGUGAUGCGCU
rnacentral:rRNA from 1 species